UGGGUAACCUGCCUCAAAGAGGGGAAUAGCCUCCCGAAAGGGAGAUUAAUACCGCAUAAUAUGUUUAGGUCGCAUGACUUUAACAUCAAAGGAUUUUCUUUUAAGAAAUUCCACUUUGAGAUGGACCCGCGGCGCAUUAGCUAGUUGGUGAGGUAACGGCUCACCAAGGCAACGAUGCGUAGCCGACCUGAGAGGGUGAUCCGGCCACAUUGGAACUGAGACACGGUCCAGACUCCGUAGGGAG
rnacentral:rRNA from 1 species